CCUACGGGAGGCAGCAGUGGGGAAUAUUGCACAAUGGAGGGAACUCUGAUGCAGCGACGCCGCGUGAGUGAUGAAGGAAUUCGUUUCGUAAAACUCUGUUCUAUGGGAAGAAAAGGACUGUACCAUAGGAGAAAGCUCCGGCUAAAUACGUGCCAGCAGCCGCGGUAAUACGUAUGGAGCGAGCGUUGUCCGGAAUUAUUGGGCGUAAAGGGUGCGCAGGCGGCUUUACAAGUUGGAUGUGAAAUAUUGUGGCUCAACCACAAACGUGCAUCCAAAACUGCAAAGCUUGAGUUAAGGAGAGGUAAGUGGAAUUCCUGGUGUAGCGGUGGAAUGCGUAGAUAUCAGGAGGAAUACCGGUGGCGAAGGCGACUUACUGGACUUAAACUGACGCUCAGGCACGAAAGCGUGGGGAGCAAACAGGAUUAGAUACCCUGGUAGUCC
rnacentral:rRNA from 1 species